rfam:Thalassiosira oceanica strain CCMP1005 To_g28653, whole genome shotgun sequence.
GUUCUUGUGGCGCAAUGGUAGCGCGUCUGACUUCUAAUCAGAAAGUUGCGAGUUCGAGUCUCGCCUAGGACC